UUUACCAAAUUUAAAUGCUGUUCCAACAUGCUGUCAAAAUUAAAUCAAUAUGGCUACUGGGUGUAAAAGAUAAAUUUUAUUCUAUCUGUUCUUAAUGAGUUUUAGAUAAUUUUAGUUGUAUUUCUUUGUAAUUUUGUGUUGUACAAAGAUUAAUUUAACAUUUUCUCUGGAAGUAUUAAUUUAGAAAGAUAAUAUGCUUCAUUGGUGUUGUGUUUUGAAGUGUGAAAUGCAAAGUAAUUGUGAUAAAGUCAAGAUAAAGUUCACUUUUAAACUGAACUAAAUAAGGUAUCUGAGAGACAACAAUGGUUAAAUGCAAUACAAUGUACAGGUUUUACUAGCGAAAUGAAAAUUUUCCUGUCCUGUCUGCUGUAAUCAUUUUAUAUCUGGAAAACCAGCCGACUUAAUCGAUAAUAACAAUCUCCAGAUUGGGUUCCUUCAAUAAAUAUGGGCUAUAAACACAAUGAAAUAAGUUCCCCAAAAUCUAAAAUGGAGUGGUAUCAAAGGAGAAUUAAAGGAAAAAAUAUUCAUAUUGAAAUUAUUUAUAAGGCACUGGACUGUCUUAAAUUCUACAAUAAUACUAGAAUCAGCUGAGAGAAGUGGUCUACAAAAAACCAGGAAGGAAAUGGAAUAUGUGGCUACGAAAGGCAAAAGAAAGGUUUACAAAGCAAAUGUGACACAUUUUUUUGAAAUAUUUAGGAAUAUCAGUAAAUUGCAUUAAAAAAAUGUAUGAAAAGAUUUUGUUCAAUAAAAAUGUUUAUAUUUA